rnacentral:RNase_P_RNA from 2 species
AAAGCAGAUCGCCUUAUCGCUGUUCGUUUUUACGAAGAGAGGAAAGUCCGAACACCGUAGUGCAGCAUAGUGGUUAACGGCCACCAACCGUGAGGUUAGGACUAGUGCAACAGAAAGUAUGUACAGGUUAAGCUGUAGUGAAAACAGGUAAACUCUAUGCGGUGCAAUGCCAUGUAUAUCAGCUUUUAGUGCGGCACGUGCAAUGUUGAAGGGUAGGCAGCUAAAGUUUUUUGGCAACAAAAAUCUUAGAUAAAUGAUAAGGACUCUUAAUGGGUACAGAAUUCGGCUUACAGAUCUGCUUUUUUA